rnacentral:rRNA from 1 species
AGUGAACGCUGGCGGUAGGCCUAACACAUGCAAGUCGAACGGCAGCACAGUAAGAGCUUGCUCUUACGGGUGGCGAGUGGCGGACGGGUGAGGAAUACAUCGGAAUCUACUUUUUCGUGGGGGAUAACGUAGGGAAACUUACGCUAAUACCGCAUACGACCUACGGGUGAAAGCAGGGGAUCUUCGGACCUUGCGCGAUUGAAUGAGCCGAUGUCGGAUUAGCUAGUUGGCGGGGUAAAGGCCCACCAAGGCGACGAUCCGUAGCUGGGCUGAGAGGAUGAUCAGCCACACUGGAACUGAGACACGGUCCAGACUCCUACGGGAGGCAGCAGUGGGGAAUAUUGGACAAUGGGCGCAAGCCUGAUCCAGCCAUACCGCGUGGGUGAAGAAGGCCUUCGGGUUUUAAAGCCCUUUUGUUGGGAAAGAAAAGCAGCAGGUUAAUACCCCGCUGUUCUGACGGUACCCAAAGAAUAAGCACCGGCUAACUUCGUG